rnacentral:rRNA from 1 species
GACGAACGCUGGCGGCGUGCUUAACACAUGCAAGUCGAACGGAAAGGCCUCUUUCGGGGGGUACUCGAGUGGCGAACGGGUGAGUAACACGUGAGUAACCUGCCCUUGACUUUGGGAUAACUUCAGGAAACUGGGGCUAAUACCGGAUAGGAGCUCCUGCUGCAUGGUGGGGGUUGGAAAGUUUCGGCGGUUGGGGAUGGACUCGCGGCUUAUCAGCUUGUUGGUGGGGUAGUGGCUUACCAAGGCUUUGACGGGUAGCCGGCCUGAGAGGGUGACCGGCCACAUUGGGACUGAGGUACGGCCCAGACUCCUACGGGAGGCAGCAGUGGGGAAUAUUGCACAAUGGGUGGAAGCCUGAUGCAGCAACGCCGUGUGCGGGAGGACGGCCUUCGGGUUGUAAACCGCUUUCGCUCAUGACGAAGCUUUGUGUGACUGUAGUGGGUAAAGAAGCACCGGCUAACUACGUG